UACGUAGGGUGCAAGCGUUAAUCGGAAUUACUGGGCGUAAAGCGUGCGCAGGCGGUUCUGUAAGUCUGUCGUGAAAUCCCCGGGCUUAACCUGGGAAUUGCGAUGGAGACUGCAAGGCUAGAAUCUGGCAGAGGGGGGUAGAAUUCCACGUGUAGCAGUGAAAUGCGUAGAGAUGUGGAGGAACACCGAUGGCGAAGGCAGCCCCCCUGGGCCAAUACUGACGCUCAUGCACGAAAGCGUGGGGAGCAAACAGG
rnacentral:rRNA from 1 species